GUGAGCCAGCUGCCUGAGCUUGAGAAUCACCUGGAAGCCUUGUUAAGACGCUGGGGCACUCAACUGGAAAUUCUGAUUUGCUCUGUCUGCAAGAGGUCCUGGAAUUUGUUGAGAACUAGGCAGUUCUUACCUGGGAGGUUUGGCCUUGGACAAGGGUGAGGAGGGUGACUAGGAAAAGGAAAAGAGAAAAGAAGGGCCCUGCACCCCUGUGAACCAGGGCCCACUCCGAUGCCUCCCCCUUUCCUGCCAGCCUUCGCUGCUCCCGGGGGAGCUCAAGUCCUUCUCCACAGCGGUGUGGGGCCGCUGCUCAGCUAUGACCUGGCCCAUGCAGCAGGAGCCUGGGACACUCAGAGUGGAGGCCCUUGUGGCAGCUGAGCUCCCAUCCCUGUGUCACUCACUGACCCUGAACACCACGGAGGACACACAGGCUUCUGGGUCUGUGCUCACCCCUCAGGUGACCUUGGGGAGUUCCCGACCCUCUCUGAGCCUCAGGUUCACUAUGGAAAGUGAAGCGUGCUCUCUGCACACGGUAGAUGCGGAGUAUGUGGCCCUCUCUCCCUCCUGCCCGCAGGGGACAGCGCUCUGGGUACGCUAUCAGGGGCCUGGUGACACAGCCUACCUUUGUCGUGUCGUCCUUUCCUGGGAGUGUUGGAUGGCUAUUGCUCGAGGAAGCUGGUGCUGGUCGGCGUGACUCUGCUUGUUGCAGAUCGUGGUGCUGCUGUGCAGUGUUUAUUCUUUCUUAACAAAUAAUCCCUUUAUGAAAUUGAGCUAGAAGUCAAAAAAGGAAAAAAAGUGACGUCUCAGGGAAGCCAUGACAAAAAUAAUUAUCAGGAGGGCUAAGAUCAAUAAUUUUCUAUGUUUUACAGAGAAAAAAAUGCCCUAUUGUAAAGUAGAAAGAGGUUGGAGAGUGGGGGCCCUGGCUGCUGCUGCUUGUUCUUCUUGACCAUGAGGCUGGAGGGAGGAGCUGGAACCAGGGCACAAGGAACUCACGGGAGGUUCCAGUAAGGAGGACUCAUUGAUGGCCUGUAAUGCCCAGGACCCUCUGUCACUGUGGAGCCUGUAAACCUGCACAUGGCCCCAGGGCAGUCUCCCCAAAGGGCCUACAAAUGGAGAAAUGCGGUGCUGGUGGUGUGGGGGGAGUGGCUGGUCAGGAGCAGCUGUACAGGUGUGAAGAGCAUGCGGUUCCAGAGGCAGAAGUUCACGUCAGCGGAGGAUGGUGGCGUGCAAGACGAGCCUGUAAGGAUGAAGGGAGCUUGCUUCAGGUGUGGAGGAGAAGAGGCCUCGGAGGAGGUCGUGGGAGCUGAGCGCAAGCGUGGAAAAGUCAGGACCUGUGGAUUCCUGCACUUGGCCCUUUGUGCCAAGCUGUCUUGUGAACUACAGGAAGCUGUGGAAGAUUUGGGGUGGAGGAGG
rnacentral:lncRNA from 1 species